AGAGUUUGAUUAUGGCUCAGGACGAACGCUGGCGGCGUGCCUAACACAUGCAAGUCGAACGGAGAUAUUGAAUUUCGGUUUAGUAUCUUAGUGGCGCACGGGUGAGUAACGCGUGAACAACUUGACCUUCAGAGGGGGAUAACAGCGAGAAAUCGGUGCUAAUACCGCAUGAGACCACAAGCCCGCAUGGGGAAGGGGUCAAAGGAGGAAUCCGCUGAAGGAGAGGUUCGCGUCCCAUUAGGUAGUUGGCGGGAUAACAGCCCACCAAGCCGACGAUGGGUAGCCGAGCUGAGAGGCUGAUCGGCCACACUGGAACUGAGACACGGUCCAG
rnacentral:rRNA from 1 species